rnacentral:rRNA from 1 species
GACGAACGCUGGCGGCGUGCUUAACACAUGCAAGUCGAACGGAAAGGCCCUGCUUUUGUGGGGUGCUCGAGUGGCGAACGGGUGAGUAACACGUGAGUAACCUGCCCUUGACUUUGGGAUAACUUCAGGAAACUGGGGCUAAUACCGGAUAGGAGCUCCUGCUGCAUGGUGGGGGUUAGAAAGUUUCGGCGGUUGGGGAUGGACUCGCGGCUUAUCAGCUUGUUGGUGGGGUAGUGGCUUACCAAGGCUUUGACGGGUAGCCGGCCUGAGAGGGUGACCGGCCACAUUGGGACUGAGAUACGGCACAGACUCCUACGGGAGGCAGCAGUGGGGAAUAUUGCACAAUGGGCGGAAGCCUGAUGCAGCAACGCCGCGUGCGGGAUGACGGCCUUCGGGUUGUAAACCGCUUUCGCCUGUGACGAAGCGUGAGUGACGGUAAUGGGUAAAGAAGCACCGGCUAACUACGUG